AACGCACGAGACCUGCGGACCUGCGGAAGGAUCAUUAACGAGUGUAACUUACCCUUUUUUUUAAAAGAGGGUAGUACCUCCUGUCCUUUGUAGGCCCCUUUUUAUUGGGGGGCUUUUUAAGACUUUCUGCUUCGGCGGGGUUAUUCCCGCCGGAACACCCUCAAAAAACUCUUCAAAAGCUAAUUCAGUCCGAGAAUUUUUGAAAAUAUAAAAAACUUUUAACAACGGAUCUCUAGAUCG
rnacentral:misc_RNA from 1 species